rnacentral:lncRNA from 1 species
UGGGUAUCACUAUCUCCCUCUUUACAUGCUAGUAACAAAGUUGUUUCUUCCUCAUCUUGCUUAUCAUUGACAAAAUUGGCUUACUUCUCCUUCUUAUUUGAAGUGUUACAACAUUUUCAAGCAUAGUAUCCAUAUAUGUGAUAAUUAUAACAUUCAGUAUUUGAUUUGUUAGAAUUUCUAUAGUUACUUCUUCAUCUUCCUCUUCCACGACCUCUAUUUGAUGGUUGACUUUUG